rnacentral:rRNA from 1 species
UAACAAGGAUUCCCCUAGUAACUGCGAGUGAAGCGGGAAAAGCUCAAAUUUAAAAUCUGGCGGUCUUUGGCCGUCCGAGUUGUAGUCUGGAGAAGUGCUUUCCGCGCUGGACCGUGUACAAGUCUCUUGGAACAGAGCGUCAUAGAGGGCGAGAAUCCCGUCUUUGACACGGACUACCAGUGCUUUGUGAUGUGCUCUCAAAGAGUCGAGUUGUUUGGGAAUGCAGCUCAAAAUGGGUGGUAAAUUCCAUCUAAAGCUAAAUAUUGGCGAGAGACCGAUAGCGAACAAGUACCGUGAGGGAAAGAUGAAAAGCACUUUGGAAAGAGAGUUAAACAGUACGUGAAAUUGCUGAAAGGGAAACGCUUGAAGUCAGUCGCGUUGGCCAGGACUCAGCCUUGCUUUUGCUUGGUGCAUUUUCUGGUUGACGGGCCAGCAUCGAUUUUGACCGCUGGAAAAAGGUUAGGGGAAUGUGGCACCUUCGGGUGUGUUAUAGCCCUUAGUCGCAUACAGUGGUUGGGAUCGAGGACCGCAGCACGCCUUUAUGGCCGGGGUUCGCCCACGUUCGUGCUUAGGAUGCUGGCGUAAU